rnacentral:rRNA from 1 species
CCAGACUCCUACGGGAGGCAGCAGUGAGGAAUAUUGGUCAAUGGCCGGAAGGCUGAACCAGCCAUACCGCGUGAAGGUCAGUGCCCUAUGGGCGUUAAACUUCUUUUGUGCGGGAGCAAUAAUGGUCACGUGUGGCCAGACGAGAGUACCGUACGAAUAAGCAUCGGCUAACUCCGUGCCAGCAGCCGCGGUAAUACGGAGGAUGCGAGCGUUAUCCGGAUUUAUUGGGUUUAAAGGGUGCGUAGGCGGAUUUUUAAGUCAGGGGUAAAAUGUCCGGGCUCAACCCGGGCCGGCCGUUGAAACUGGGGAUCUUGAGUGGGCGAGAAGUAUGCGGAAUGCGUGGUGUAGCGGUGAAAUGCAUAGAUAUCACGCAGAACCCCGAUUGCGAAGGCAGCAUGCCGGCUUCCGACUGACGCUGAAGCACGAAAGCGUGGGGAUCGAACAGGAUUAGAUACCCUUGUAUC